rnacentral:rRNA from 1 species
UACGUAGGUGGCAAGCGUUGUCCGGAAUUAUUGGGCGUAAAGGGCGCGUAGGUGGCCCCUCAAGCGUGCGGUGAAAGUCAGGGGCUCAACCCCUGAUCGGCCGUGCGAACUGGGGAGCUUGAGCACUGUAGAGGCAGGCGGAAUUCCGGGUGUAGCGGUGGAAUGCGUAGAGAUCCGGAAGAACACCGGUGGCGAAGGCGGCCUGCUGAGCAGUUUUGCUGACACUGAGGCGCGACAGCGUGGGGAGCAAACAGG